GUGCCAGCAGCCGCGGUAAUACGUAGGGGGCAAGCGUUGUCCGGAUUUACUGGGUGUAAAGGGCGCGUAGGCGGCUAUAAAAGUCAGUGGUGAAAUCCUGCGGCUUAACUGCAGAACUGCCAUUGAUACUGUAUAGCUUGAGUGCGGAAGAGAGAGACGGAAUUCCAGGUGUAGUGGUGAAAUACGUAGAUAUCUGGAAGAACACCAGUUGCGAAGGCGGUCUCUUGGUCCGUUACUGACGCUGAGGCGCGAAAGCGUGGGUAGCAAACAGGAUUAGAAACCCUGGUAGUCC
rnacentral:rRNA from 1 species